AGAUCCGAGCGUCUCGGCUGGUGGAAGGGGCGAGGAGCUUUGCAGUUGUGUGCGAGUGUGUACAGGGACAGAGUCCUGAGCAAGGAAACCUAGAAGGGAGAGAGGAAUACCAUGGAAUUGAGUCCUGUCUGGUAGCACUGACAGACACAGUGGCCAGCCACCCUCAUGCCACCCUGUCCUGCCAUGGGAAGGAACAGCAGCUCUAGAGUUCCUAUGCUUUGAAUCUGCUGUUAUUAAGUUGCUGGUGCUGAAAUAACACUUAUUAUUUAUGAUCUAACUGAAAUGGGAACACUGGAAACUUCUUUGAAACUGAAGAAAAAAAUGAAAAAGAAGUUUUUACAAUCAAAACUGCCAUGAAGACUGCUUUACCCAAAAUUUUGGUCCACAGCUUUCAUUGAAUUACUUAUCAGGGCAAACAAAGUUUAGCCAUGUGAACACGUUCCAAUUUUGUUGGAAAUAAUUUGGAUCCAGCUAUCUUUAUACAAUGGUGAGUUCGUAUUGCAUCUCAUGGCUAAAAUACUGAGGUAAAGGCUUUUGGAUCUUUGUGUGUGUGUGUGUGCAUGUGACAAAAACAAGCAAUGGGGAAAGGAGUCCCUAUUUAAUAAAUGGUGUUGGGAGAACUGGCUAGCCAUAUGCAGAAAGUUGAAACUGGAGCCCCUCCUUAUACCAUAUACAAAAAUCAACUCAAGAUGAAUUAAAGACUUAAAUGUAAAAACCCAAACUAUAAAAACCCUAGAAGAAAAUCUAGGCAAUACCAUUCAGGACAUGGGCACAGGCAAAUAUUUCAUGACAAAGAUGCCAAAAGCAGUAGCAACAAAAGCAAAAAUUGACAAAUGGAAUCUAAUUAAACUAAAGAGCUUCUGUACAGCAAAGAAAUUAUCAUCAGAGUGAACAGACAGCUUACAGCAUGGGAGAAAAUUUUUGCAGUAUAUCCAUCUGACAAAGGUCUAAUAUUCAGCAUCUACAAGGAACUUAAACAAAUUUACAAGAAAAAAAAACAACGCCAUUAAAAAAUGGGCAAAGGACGUGGACAGACACUUCUCAAAAGAAGAAAUUUAUGUGGGCAAUGAACAUUUUUUUUAAAAAAGCUCAACACCACUGAUCAUUAGAGAAAUGCACAUGAAAACCACAAUGAGAUACCAUCUCACACCAGUCAGAAUGGCUAUUACUUAAAGGUCAAAAAACAACAGAUGAUAGCAAGGUUGUGAAGAAAAAUGAACACUUUUAUACGUUGGUUGGAGUAUAAAUUAGUUCUACCCUUGUCGAAGACAGUGUGGUGAUUCCUCAAAGACCUAGGGGAAGAAAUAUCAUUUGACCCAGCAAUCUCAUUACUGGGUAUAUACCCAGAGGAAUAUAAAUCAUUCUAUUAUAAAGAUACAUGUGCAUGUUCAUUGCAAAAUAGCAAAAACAUGGAAUCAACCUAAAUGCUCAUCAAUGACAGACUUGAUAAAGGAAAUAUGGUACGUAUACACCAAGGAAUACCAUGCAGCCAUAAAAAGGAACAAGAUAAUGUCUUUUGCAGGGACCUGGAUGGAACCAGAAGCCAUUAUCCUCAGCAAAUUAAUGCAGGAACAGAAAAGCAAAUACCACAUGUUCUCACUUGUAAGUGGUAGCUGAAUGAUGAGAACACAUGGACACAUGGUGGGGAACAAUACACACUGGGGCCUGUUGCAGGGUGCGGAGUGGGAGGGAGAGCAUCGGGAAGAAUAGCUAAUGCAUGCUGGGCUUAAUACCUAGGGGAUGGAAUGAUCUGUGCUGCAAACCACUAUGGCACACAUUUACCUAUGUAACAAACCUACACAUCCUGCACAUGUACCCCUGACCUUAAAAUAAAAGUUGGAAAUAAAAAAAACCCUAAACAUAUACCUACUACCUGAUCCAGUGAUUUCAUUUUUAAGUAUUUACCCAAGAGAAAUAAAAACAUAUGGCCACACAUGCAAAAGAAAUACUUGUACAUGAAUGUUCUU
rnacentral:lncRNA from 1 species